GAUGAACGCUAGCUACAGGCUUAACACAUGCAAGUCGAGGGGCAGCAUGAUCAAAGCUUGCUUUGGUUGAUGGCGACCGGCGCACGGGUGAGUAACGCGUAUCCAACCUUCCCCUUAGUAGGGCAUAGCCCGUAGAAAUGCGGAUUAAUACCCUAUGUUGUUCGUAGAGGACAUCUGAAAUGAACCAAAGGUUUACCGCUAAGGGAUGGGGAUGCGUCUGAUUAGGUAGUCGGCGGGGUAACGGCCCACCGAGCCUUCGAUCAGUAGGGGUUCUGAGAGGAAGGUCCCCCACAUUGGAACUGAGACACGGUCCAAACUCC
rnacentral:rRNA from 1 species